rnacentral:rRNA from 1 species
GCAUGGCGGCAGCUAAUACAUGCAGUCGAGCGGACCGACGGGAGCUUGCUCCCUUAGGUCAGCGGCGGACGGGUGAGUAACACGUGGGUAACCUGCCUGUAAGACUGGGAUAACUCCGGGAAACCGGGGCUAAUACCGGAUGCUUGAUUGAACCGCAUGGUUCAAUCAUAAAAGGUGGCUUUUAGCUACCACUUACAGAUGGACCCGCGGCGCAUUAGCUAGUUGGUGAGGUAACGGCUCACCAAGGCGACGAUGCGUAGCCGACCUGAGAGGGUGAUCGGCCACACUGGGACUGAGACACGGCCCAGACUCCUACGGGAGGCAGCAGUAGGGAAUCUUCCGCAAUGGACGAAAGUCUGACGGAGCAACGCCGCGUGAGUGAUGAAGGUUUUCGGAUCGUAAAACUCUGUUGUUAGGGAAGAACAAGUACCGUUCGAAUAGGGCGGCACCUUGACGGUACCUAACCAGAAAGCCACGGCUAACUACGUGCCAGCAGCCGCGGUAAUACGUAGGUGGCAAGCGUUGUCCGGAAUUAUUGGGCGUAAAGCGCGCGCAGGCGGUUUCUUAAGUCUGAUGUGAAAGCCCCCGGCUCAACCGGGGAGGGUCAUUGGAAACUGGGGGAACUUGAGUGCAGAAGAGGAGAGUGGAAUUCCACGUGUAGCGGUGAAAUGCGUAGAGAUGUGGAGGAACACCAGUGGCGAAAGGCGACUCUCUGGUCUGUAACUGACGCUGAGGCGCGAAAGCGUGGGGAGCGAACAGGAUUAGAUACCCUGGUAGUCCACGCCGUAACGAUGAGUGCUAAGUGUAGAGGGUUCCGGCCCUUAGUGCUGCAGCAAACGCAUUAAGCACCUCCCGCCCUGAGA